GGCUCAGAUUGAACGCUGGCGGCAUGCCUUACACAUGCAAGUCGAAACGGCAGCACGGGAGCAAUCCUGGUGGCGAGUGGCGAACGGGUGAGUAAUAUAUCGGAACGUGCCCAGUCGUGGGGGAUAACGUAGCGAAAGCUACGCUAAUACCGCAUACGAUCUAUGGAUGAAAGCGGGGGAUCGCAAGACCUCGCGCGAUUGGAGCGGCCGAUAUCAGAUUAGGUAGUUGGUGAGGUAAAGGCUCACCAAGCCGACGAUCUGUAGCUGGUCUGAGAGAACGACCAGCCACACUGGGACUGAGACACGGCCCAGACUCCUACGGGAGGCAGCAGUGGGGAAUUUUGGACAAUGGGCGAAAGCCUGAUCCAGCAAUGCCGCGUGCAGGAAGAAGGCCUUCGGGUUGUAAACUGCUUUUGUACGGAACGAAAAGGUCUGCCCUAAUACGGCGGGCCCAUGACGGUACCGUAAGAAUAAGCACCGGCUAACUACGUG
rnacentral:rRNA from 1 species